AGAACGAACGUUGGCGGCGUGGAUUAGGCAUGCAAGUCGCGGGAAUCCCAGCAAUGGGGGAACCGGCGUAAGGGGCAGUAAUGCGUGGGUACCUACCCUGGGGUCCGGGAUAGCCGUCCGAGAGGGCGGGUAAUACCGGAUGACCUCGGGAGAGCAAAGCUCCGGCGCCCUGGGAGGGCCCACGUGAUAUUAGCUAGUCGGCGGGGUAAUGGCCCACAAGGCAUAGAUGUCUAGCGGGUGUGAGAGCACGGCCCGCGCCACUCGCACUGAGACACUGGCGAGACACCGUACGGGUGCUGCAGUCGAGGAUCGUUCGGCAAUGUGCGCAAGGCACGGACCGAGCGACGCCGCGUGGGCGACGGAAGGCCUUCGGGUUAGUAAACGCCUGUCGAGGGAGAAAAGCCGGAAAGGUGUAGAUACUACUCCGUGGAGGAAGCGUCGGCUAAGUUCGUGCCAGCGAGCCGCGGU
rnacentral:rRNA from 1 species